rnacentral:rRNA from 1 species
UACAGAGGGUGCAAGCGUUAAUCGGAAUUACUGGGCGUAAAGCGCGCGUAGGUGGUUUGUUAAGUUGGAUGUGAAAAUCCCCCGGGGCUCAACCUGGGAACUGCAUUCAAAACUGACAAGCUAGAGUAUGGUAGAGGGGGGGUGGAAUUCCCGGUGUAGUGGUGAAAUGCGUAGAGAUCGGGAGGAACACCUGUGGCGAAGGCGGCCCCCUGGGCCGGCCCUGACACUGAGACGCGAAGGCGUGGGGGAGCGAACGGG